AGAUUAGGAUUGAGGGGAUUAACAUUAUAAAUAGGAGUAUGAAGAAAAGAUUACUUGGCUUUGCCCAUUAUUGAGGAGUGGCUUUCACCAUUGUGAAGAGAAGGUUUUUGCCCAUUGAGGAGAAUGACACUUGCUUAUUGCAGUCCCAUGGAAGGAGCGCAUUUCAGCCUAAGGUGGAGAAUGGUAUAGUCCAAAAGAAAGGGGCUAUUGUCUAUUAUAGUUGAAGACACCCUUUGUGA
rnacentral:misc_RNA from 1 species